GCCCAUUUGAGGGGGAUACCAGUUGGAAACGACUGUUAAUACCGCAUAAUAUCUGUGGAUUAAAGGUGGCUUUCGGGCUGUCGCAGAUGGAUGAGCCUGCGUUGGAUUAGCUAGUUGGUGGGGUAAGGGCCUACCAAGGCUACGAUCCAUAGCUGAUUUGAGAGGAUGAUCAGCCACAUUGGGACUGAGACACGGCCCAAACUCCUACGGGAGGCAGCAGUGAGGAAUAUUGGACAAUGGGGGCAACCCUGAUCCAGCAAUGCCAUGUGUGUGAAGAAGGCCUUAGGGUUGUAAAGCACUUUAGUUGGGGAGGAAAGCCUUGAGGUUAAUAGCCUUGAGGAAGGACGUUACCCAAAGAAUAAGCACCGGCUAACUCCGUGCCAGCAGCCGCGGUAAUACGGGGGGUGCAAGCGUUAAUCGGAAUUACUGGGCGUAAAGAGUCUGUAGGUGGUUUGUUAAGUCAGAUGUGAAAGCCCAGGGCUCAACCUUGGAACUGCAUUUGAUACUGGCAAACUAGAGUACGGUAGAGGAAUGGGGAAUUUCUGGUGUAGCGGUGAAAUGCGUAGAGAUCAGAAGGAACACCAAUGGCGAAGGCAACAUUCUGGACCGAUACUGACACUGAGGGACGAAAGCGUGGGGAUCAAACAGGAUUAGAUACCCUGGUAGUCCACGCUGUAAACGAUGAGUACUAGCUGUUGGAGUCGGUGUAAAGGCUCUAGUGGCGCAGCUAACGCGAUAAGUACUCCGCCUGGGGACUACGGCCGCAAGGCUAAAACUCAAAGGAAUUGACGGGGACCCGCACAAGCGGUGGAGCAUGUGGUUUAAUUCGAUGCAACGCGAAGAACCUUACCUGGUCUUGACAUCCUGCGAACUUUCUAGAGAUAGAUUGGUGCCUUCGGGAACGCAGUGACAGGUGCUGCACGGCUGUCGUCAGCUCGUGUUGUGAAAUGUUGGGUUAAGUCCCGCAACGAGCGCAACCCCUAUUGAUAGUUACCAUCAUUAAGUUGGGUACUCUAUUGAGACUGCCGCUGACAAGGCGGAGGAAGGUGGGGACGACGUCAAGUCAUCAUGGCCCUUACGACCAGGGCUACACACGUGCUACAAUGGGUAUUACAGAGGGCUGCGAAGGUGCGAGCUGGAGCGAAACUCAAAAAGGUACUCUUAGUCC
rnacentral:rRNA from 1 species